rnacentral:rRNA from 1 species
UACAAUAAAUAGUUUAUAUAAAAAGUUCUCGUCCGAUCACUGAAGUUAAGCAGCAUUGGGCACGGUUAGUACUUGGAUGGGUGACCGCUUGGGAACACCGUGUGAUGUUGUCU